rnacentral:rRNA from 1 species
GACGAACGCUGGCGGCGUGCUUAACACAUGCAAGUCGAACGGAAAGACCCUGCUUUUGUGGGGUGCUCGAGUGGCGAACGGGUGAGUAACACGUGAGUAACCUGCCCUUGACUUUGGGAUAACUUCAGGAGACUGGGGCUAAUACCGGAUAGGAGCUCCUGCUGCAUGGUGGGGGUUGGAAAGUUUCGGCGGUUGGGGAUGGACUCGCGGCUUAUCAGCUUGUUGGUGGGGUAGUGGCUUACCAAGGCUUUGACGGGUAGCCGGCCUGAGAGGGUGACCGGCCACAUUGGGACUGAGAUACGGCCCAGACUCCUACGGGAGGCAGCAGUGGGGAAUAUUGCACAAUGGGCGGAAGCCUGAUGCAGCAACGCCGCGUGCGGGAUGACGGCCUUCGGGUUGUAAACCGCUUUCGCCUGUGACGAAGCGUGAGUGACGGUAAUGGGUAAAGAAGCACCGGCUAACUACGUG